AUUGAACGCUGGCGGCAGGCCUAACACAUGCAAGUCGAACGAGUGGCGGACGGGUGAGUAAUGUCUGGGAAACUGCCUGAUGGUGGGGGAUAACUACUGUACACGGUAGCUAAUACCGCAUACCAUCAGAUGUGCCCAGAUGGGAUUAGCUAGUUGGUGGGGUAAGGGCUCACCAAGGCGACGAUCCCUAGCUGGUCUGAUAGGAUGACCAGCCACACUAGAACGGAGACACGGACCAGACUCCUACGGGAGGCAGGAGUGGGGAAUAUAGCACAAGGGGCGCAAGCCUGAUGCAACCAUGCCGCGUGUAUGAAGGAGGCCUUCGGGUUGUAAAGUACUUUCAGCGGGGAGUAGUUACCCGCAGAAGAAGCACCGGCUAACUCCGUGCCAGCAGCCGCGGUAAUAC
rnacentral:rRNA from 1 species